ACCUGUGUUGCCGGAAGAGAAUAAACACCGGCUAACUACGUGCCAGCAGCCGCGGUAAUACGUAAGGCGCAAGCGUUAAUCGGAAUUAAUGGGCGUAAAGCGUGCGCAGGCGGUAAUGUAAGACAGUUGUGAAAUCCCCGGGCUCAACCUGGGAACUGCAUCUGUGACUGCAUUACUGGAGUACGGCAAAGGGGGAUGGAAUUCCGCGUGUAGCAGUGAAAUGCGUAGAUAUGCGAAGGAACACCGAUGGCGAAGGCAAUCCCCUGGGCCUGUACUGACGCUCAUGCACGAAAGCGUGGGGAGCAAACAGGAUUAGAUACCCUGGUAGUCCACGCCCUAAACGAUGUCAACUGGUUGUUGGGUCUUCACUGACUCAGUAACGAACCUAACGCGUGAAGUUGACCGCCUGGGGAGUACGGCCGCAAGGUUGAAACUCUAGGGAAUUGACGGAAGCUUAAAAAUAUUUAAAAUAAU
rnacentral:rRNA from 1 species